rnacentral:rRNA from 1 species
GGAACGGCAGACGGGUGAGUAACGCGUGGGAACGUACCUUUUGGUNCGGAAUAANUCAGGGAAACUUGUGCUAAUACCGUAUGUGCCCUUCGGGGGAAAGAUUUAUCGGCAAAGGAUCGGCCCGCGUUGGAUUAGCUGGUUGGUGAGGUAAAGGCUCACCAAGGCGACGAUCCAUAGCUGGUCUGAGAGGAUGAUCAGCCNCACUGGGACUGAGACACGGCCCAGACUCCUACGGGAGGCAGCAGUGGGGAAUAUUGGACAAUGGGCGCAAGCCUGAUCCAGCCAUGCCGAUGAGUGAUGAAGGCCCUAGGGUUGUAAAGCUCUUUCACCGCGUCGGAUAUUCGGAA